rnacentral:rRNA from 1 species
GUGAGGAAUAUUGCACAAUGGAGGAAACUCUGAUGCAGCGACGCCGCGUGAGUGAUGAAGGCCUUCGGGUCGUAAAGCUCUGUCGCAGGGGAAUAACACAAUGAAGGUACCCUGUAAGAAAGGAUCGGCUAACUUCGUGCCAGCAGCCGCGGUAAGACGAGGGAUCCUAGCGUUGUUCGGAAUCAUUGGGCGUAAAGCGGAUGUAGGUGGCUAUGUAAGUCAGAUGUGAAAGCCUGGGGCUCAACCCCAGAAGUGCAUUUGAUACUGCGUAGCUUGAGUGUCGGAGAGGUUACUAGAAUUGUUGGUGUAGUGGUGAAAUACGUAGAUAUCAACAGGAAUACCGGAGGCGAAGGCGGGUAACUGGCCGAACACUGACACUGAGAUCCGAAAGCGUGGGGAUCAAACAGGAUUAGAAACCCGAGUAGUCC